UAAUACGGAGGGUGCGAGCGUUGUCCGGAUUUAUUGGGUUUAAAGGGUGCGUAGGUGGCUGAUUAAGUCAGUGGUGAAAUACAGCCGCUCAACGGUUGAGGUGCCAUUGAUACUGAUCAGCUUGAAAUAAUUGGAGGCUGCCGGAAUGGAUGGUGUAGCGGUGAAAUGCAUAGAUAUCAUCCAGAACACCGAUUGCGAAGGCAGGUGGCUACGAUUUAUUUGACACUGAGGCACGAAAGCAUGGGGAGCAAACAGGAUUAGAUACCCUGGUAGUCCAUGCCGUAAACGAUGAGGACUCGCUGUUGGCCUGUCACGGGUCAGCGGCUUAGGGAAACCGUUAAGUCCUCCACCUGGGGAGUACGCCGGCAACGGUG
rnacentral:rRNA from 1 species